AACACCGCUAUAACAAACGUUAUUGUGAACCUCGCGACGCAGAUUGACUAUUCUCGGCGACAGAGUCGCUAAACAGCAGUGCUAUAGCGCUUCUUUUGUUUCAAAUCGUCAAGCGAAUGAUAAAAACAACGCUUGUAAAGUUUAUUGACAACUUUUAUACAAGUUAACUGUGGUGAAAAAAGUUGUGUUAAUAAAACGCGCGCACGUACGCGCAAUCAUAAACAAUCCGCAGCUAUGUGCCUAGCGUGCUGCAUAUGUUUUCCAGUUAGUUGGUGUCAGUAGAUGUCAGUUGCUUAGUAGGUGUUAGACAGUGCAUAUGCGAGGAUGUCGGCGAAUGAGAACGAGCUUAAUACGAUGACGACGAAGACCGCCCAACGGUCACGACGCCCGCCACAGCCACAAUGGUCACGACGCUCGCGACAGCUACGACGGCUACGAUGGCGGUGUCUGAAAAAAUUACCGGGGCGACAUCGACGACGGCAGCGAUGGCCACGACGGCGAUCGAGCCAAUAACGUUA